AGAGUUUGAUCCUGGCUCAGGAUUAACGUUGGUAGUACACACACACGAGCAAGUCGAAUGGAGAAGUGGAAACAUUUCUUGCCCGAGAGGGCCUCGCAUGGCGAACGGGUGAGUAAUACUUAUCUACUAGCCAAUUAGUGAGCCUUUCGAAAGAAAGGUUAGCCAUGGGAAACCACGGCUAAGGUAAUCCCACAUAUUCUGGUUUCGACCAGGAAAGGAAGUCGCAAGGCUUUCGCUAAUUGAGAGGGAUAAGGCGUAUUAGUUAGUUGGUGGGGUAAUGGCCUACCAAGGCAAUGAUGCGUAGCCGGCCUGAGAGGGUGAACGGCCACAAGGGAACUGAGACACGGUCCCUACUCCCAAGGGAGGCAGAAGUGGGAAACAUUUCGCAAUGGACGCAAGUCUGACGGAGUGAUACUACGUGAAGGAUGAAGGUCUACGGAUUGUAAACUUCUUUACUGGAAAGUACUGACGUAUGGAUUGCUUUCUAGCAAAAAGCCACGACUAACUAUGUGCCAGCAGUCGCGGUAAGACAUAGGUGGCAAACGUUAUCCGGAAUUAUUGGGCGUAAAGAGUGCGUAGGUGGUUGAAUAAGUUAUUGGUGGUAAAUCGGGGCCCAACCCCGUGGAAGUCAGUAAUACUAUCGAACUAGAGGAUCGGAGGGGUUAACGGAAUUCUAUGUGUAGCAGUAAAAUGCUCAAAUAUAUAGAGGAACACCAAUUGGCGAAGGCAGUUAACUAUUCGAUUCCUGACGUUGAGGCACGAAAGCGUGGGGAGCAAGACGGAUUAGAUACCCGAGUAGUCCACGCCCUAAACGAUGAGUGCUAGAUAUUGGGAACUUGAUUCUCAGUGUCGCUAGGUAACUCAGUAAGUACUCUACGCCUGGGUAGUACGCAAGAUAAUGGUAUAAAGAUACUUGGAUUAAAGCUGAACGUCUCUAAGUCAGAACGGAAUUGGCAAUGAAAGAACAAAAAUGCUCAUCCAUAGUAAUGAGUAAAUAUAAGUUGGGAAUGCAAAUUGGUUAUAA
rnacentral:rRNA from 1 species